rnacentral:tRNA from 1 species
GCCUGGGUGGCUCAGUCGGUUGAGCGCCCGACUUCGGCUCAGGUCAUGAUCUCAUGGCUUGUGAGUUCAAGCCCCAUGUCAGGCU